CUUCUGCUGCCGUGGCUGGUGGACGCUGUUCUGGUCAUUAUUGUGGAUCUGGUCUUCGUGGCUUACAUCGUCUACCAGGAGCAUCUCAACCUGAACCCCGUUGUGGCCAUUACCUUCACUGUCGACUUCUUCCUGCUAGUCCUCCAUACCUAUGCGGUCCUGUGCGUGACGUCACAGUACCAGGAGUACCGUGAUGGCCGGGGAACAGCUAUGGACGAUGGAAACAGAUGGGUG